rnacentral:rRNA from 1 species
GGAGUUAGCCGGUGCUUCUUCUGUGAGUGAUGUCCUUCCUGCCGGUUAUUGACCCGCAGGCCUUCUUCCUCACUGAAAGUGCUUUACAACCCGAAGGCCUUCUUCACACACGCGGCAUGGCUGGAUCAGGGUUUCCCCCAUUGUCCAAUAUUCCCCACUGCUGCCUCCCGUAGGAGUCUGGGCCGUGUCUCAGUCCCAGUGUGGCUGAUCAUCCUCUCAGACCAGCUACGGAUCGUCGCCUUGGUGAGCCGUUACCUCACCAACCAGCUAAUCCGACAUAGGCUCAUCCGAUAGCGCGAGGCCCGAAGGUCCCCCGCUUUCCCCCGUAGGGCGUAUGCGGUAUUAGCCUGGGUUUCCCCAGGUUAUCCCCCACUACCGGGCAGAUUCCUAUGCAUUACUCACCCGUCCGCCGCUCGCCACCAGGGAGCAAGCUCCCCGUGCUGCCGCUCGACUUGCAUGUGUUAGGCCUGCCGCCAGCGUUCAAUCUGAGCCAUAAUCAAACUCUGA